GAUGAACGCUGACAGAAUGCUUAACACAUGCAAGUCAACUGUGGCGGACGGGUGAGUAACGCGUAAAGAACUUGCCUCACAGCUAGGGACAACCUUUGGAAACGAAUGAUAAUACCUGAUACUGUGAGAGAGCUUUGCGUCCCAUUAGCUAGUUGGCGAGGUAACGGCUCACCAAGGCGAUGAUGGGUAGCCGGACUGAGAGGGUGAUCGGCCACAAGGGGACUGAGACACGGCCAUUACUCAUACGGGAGGAAGCAGUGGGGAAUAUUGGACAAUGGACCAAAGUCUGAUGCAGCAAUUCUGUUUGAAAGAUGAAUUUUUCGGAAGGUAAAGUGUGUUCAGUUGGGAAGCGGUACCAACAGAAGAAGUGACGGCUAAAUACGUGCCAGCAGCCGCGGUAAUAC
rnacentral:rRNA from 1 species